UGGGGAAUUUUGGACAAUGGGCGCAAGCCUGAUCCAGCCAUGCCGCGUGCGGGAAGAAGGCCUUCGGGUUGUAAACCGCUUUUGUCAGGGAAGAAAAGGUUCUGGCUAAUACCUGGGACUCAUGACGGUACCUGAAGAAUAAGCACCGGCUAACUACGUGCCAGCAGCCGCGGUAAUACGUAGGGUGCAAGCGUUAAUCGGAAUUACUGGGCGUAAAGCGUGCGCAGGCGGUUAUGCAAGACAGAGGUGAAAUCCCCGGGCUCAACCUGGGAACUGCCUUUGUGACUGCAUGGCUAGAGUACGGUAGAGGGGGAUGGAAUUCCGCGUGUAGCAGUGAAAUGCGUAGAUAUGCGGAGGAACACCGAUGGCGAAGGCAAUCCCCUGGACCUGUACUGACGCUCAUGCACGAAAGCGUGGGGAGCAAACAGG
rnacentral:rRNA from 4 species